UGGGGAAUAUUGGACAAUGAGGGCAACCCUGAUCCAGCAAUGCCGCGUGUGUGAAGAAGGUCUUCGGAUUGUAAAGCACUUUCGACGGGGACGAUGAUGACGGUACCCGUAGAAGAAGCCCCGGCUAACUUCGUGCCAGCAGCCGCGGUAAUACGAAGGGGGCUAGCGUUGCUCGGAAUGACUGGGCGUAAAGGGCGUGUAGGCGGUUUACACAGUCAGAUGUGAAAUCCCCGGGCUUAACCUGGGAGCUGCAUUUGAUACGUGUAGACUAGAGUGUGAGAGAGGGUUGUGGAAUUCCCAGUGUAGAGGUGAAAUUCGUAGAUAUUGGGAAGAACACCGGUGGCGAAGGCGGCAACCUGGCUCAUGACUGACGCUGAGGCGCGAAAGCGUGGGGAGCAAACAGGAUUAGAUACCCUGGUAGUCC
rnacentral:rRNA from 1 species